rnacentral:rRNA from 3 species
UGGUAAUGCCGGAUGCUCCAGUUGAUCGCAUGGUCUUCUGGGAAAGCUUUCGCGGUAUGGGAUGGGGUCGCGUCCUAUCAGCUUGACGGCGGGGUAACGGCCCACCGUGGCUUCGACGGGUAGCCGGCCUGAGAGGGCGACCGGCCACAUUGGGACUGAGAUACGGCCCAGACUCCUACGGGAGGCAGCAGUGGGGAAUAUUGCACAAUGGGCGCAAGCCUGAUGCAGCGACGCCGCGUGAGGGAUGGAGGCCUUCGGGUUGUAAACCUCUUUUAUCGGGGAGCAAGCGAGAGUGAGUUUACCCGUUGAAUAAGCACCGGCUAACUACGUGCCAGCAGCCGCGGUAAUACGUAGGGUGCAAGCGUUAUCCGGAAUUAUUGGGCGUAAAGGGCUCGUAGGCGGUUCGUCGCGUCCGGUGUGAAAGUCCAUCGCUUAACGGUGGAUCCGCGCCGGGUACGGGCGGGCUUGAGUGCGGUAGGGGAGACUGGAAUUCCCGGUGUAACGGUGGAAUGUGUAGAUAUCGG